rnacentral:misc_RNA from 1 species
AAGUCGUAACAAGGUUUCCGUAGGUGAACCUGCGGAAGGAUCAUUAACACGUAUCCAACGUUAAACCCCCCGUGAACCUUCAGUGCGCUCGCACUUUCUUAGAAAAGGUAGCAAUCCCUGGUAAAUCAUUGCCGAACAGUUUUGAUUCAUGCUUGAGCGUGAGGCAAGUGGCCUGACAUUCCUCUGCUUGUUGGUGUCUGAAAGUGUCACCAGCUCUGUACGAAUGGCGCAGUCACGAUCGCUAGAGGCGGUCCCCUCGUCACCUUUGCAUGAAAACGGGCCUGCGCUUAAUUGUGCGGCCACCAAACUCGAACAACUGUUAACAAUGGAUAUCUUGGUUCUC